rnacentral:rRNA from 1 species
GGUAGUCCACGCUGUAAACGAUGAGUACUAGACUAGGCGGGAUUUGACCCCUGCCGAGUCGGAGCUAACGCAAUAAGUACUCCGCCUGGGAAGUACGGUCGCAAGACUAAAACUCAAAGGAAUUGACGGGGGCCCGCACAAGCGGUGGAUCAUGUGGUUUAAUUCGAGGCAACGCGCAGAACCUUACCUAGGUUUGACAUCCUUAGACAACCGUAGAAAUACGGCCUUCAUAGCAAUAUGACUAAGAGACAGGUGCUGCAUGGCUGUCGUCAGCUCGUGUGGUGACAUGUUGGGUUAAG